GAUGAACGCUAGCGAUAGGCUUAACACAUGCAAGUCGAGGGGCAGCAUGGUCUUAGCUUGCUAAGACUGAUGGCGACCGGCGCACGGGUGCGUAACGCGUAUGCAACUUGCCUCACAGAGGGGGAUAACCCGUCGAAAGACGGACUAAUACCGCGUACACUUGGGAUAGGGCAUCCUGACCCAAGGAAAUGAAAUUCGCUGUGAGAUAGGCAUGCGUCCCAUUAGCUAGUUGGUGAGGUAACGGCUCACCAAGGCGACGAUGGGUAGGGGAACUGAGAGGUUGAACCCCCACACUGGUACUGAGACACGGACCAGACUCCUACGGGAGGCAGCAGUGAGGAAUAUUGGUCAAUGGGCGAGAGCCUGAACCAGCCAAGUCGCGUGAAGGAUGACUGUCUUAUGGAUUGUAAACUUCUUCUAUACGGGAAUAACAAGAGCCACGUGUGGCUCCCUGCAUGUACCGUAUGAAUAAGCAUCGGCUAACUCCGUG
rnacentral:rRNA from 1 species